AUGAUGAUGUCACUGACUCUACUGCUGGGCACCGUGGGGCUCCUUGUUCAGGGUUCAUCAGGAGAUAUCAUCAUGACUCAGUCUCCUGGAUCUCAGUCUGCUGCUCCAGGACAGUCUGUCUCCAUCAGAUGUAAAGCAAGUUCAACUGUUAGUACUAGCUACCUCCACUGGUAUCUUCAGAAACCUGGAGAAGCUCCUAAACUCCUGAUUUAUUCAACUACAAGCCGUCAGUCUGGAGUUUCAGAUCGUUUUAGUGGAAGUGGAUCAGACAGUGACUACUCUCUGACCAUCAGUAGAGUUCAGACUGAAGAUGCAGGAGUCUAUUAUUGUCAGCAGAGUCACAGCUGGCAGUUCACACAGUGA